GACGAACGCUGGCGGCGUGGAUUAGGCAUGCAAGUCGAACGGUAUCAUCCUUUCGGGGGUGAGAGAGUGGCGAACUGGUGAGUAACACGUAGGUUAUCUACCCUCAAGACGGGGACAACCCAGGGAAACUUGGGCUAAUACCGGAUGUGAGCAACUUUUUAGUUGUUUGAAAGGUGGCGUAAGCUGUCGCUUGGGGAUGAGCCUGCGUCCUAUUAGUUAGUUGGUGAGGUAACGGCUCACCUAGGCAAUGAUAGGUAGGCGGCCUUAACGGGUGGUCGCCCACACUGGGAUUGAGAUACGGCCCAGACUCCUACGGGAGGCAGCAGUCGAGAAUAGUCUACAAUGGUCGGAAGACUGAUAGUGCGACGCCGCGUGAACGAUGAAUCCCUUCGGGGUGUAAAGUUCUUUUAUAUGUGAGCAGUGCUUCUUAUAUUAACAGUAUGGGGAGAGAGAUAUUAGCAUAUGAAUAAGCAACGGCUAACUCCGUGCCAGCAGCCGCGGUAAA
rnacentral:rRNA from 1 species